GGGGCUGACUGGUAUCGACGGGAUCGAUAAUUUUAUAGUAAGCAUGCAGGGGGAAGAUUGUAUACUCCUUAACCAUUUUCAAUCAAACAUUAAUUGGCGAGAAUAACUUCGCAAUGGCUGCAUAAUCUAGGAUUAUAAAGCUUUUAGUCAAUACGCUUGACGCUCAAUAUACAGCGUAACGACUUAAACAACUUUGAGUAAGGACUGGUGGAUACUUCGACUCCUAUCCGAGAUCAAGAAGAUAAGGUGAUAGCGUCGCCGUUUUUAUGCCUGCUAUCACUCGAAAAUCCGAAUACAAACUAAGCAUGUAGAAAGCUAUCGGAUGCUUUCUCCGGACCAGGGUUCGACUCCCUGCAGCUCCACA
rnacentral:tmRNA from 1 species